UGGGGAAUCUUGGACAAUGGGGGCAACCCUGAUCCAGCGACGCCGCGUGGGUGAAGAAGGCCUUAGGGUUGUAAACCCCUUUCACCGGGGAGGAUGAUGACGUUACCCGGAGAAGAAGCACCGGCUAACUCCGUGCCAGCAGCCGCGGUAAGACGGAGGGUGCUAGCGUUGUUCGGAAUCACUGGGCGUAAAGGGCGCGUAGGCGGCUUGGCCAGUCAGAUGUGAAAGCCCGGGGCUCAACUCCGGAACUGCAUUUGAUACUGCCAAGCUGGAGGUCGAGAGAGGAAAGUGGAAUACCCAGUGUAGAGGUGAAAUUCGUAGAUAUUGGGUGGAACACCAGUGGCGAAAGCGGCUUUCUGGCUCGAACCUGACGCUGAGGCGCGAAAGCGUGGGGAGCAAACAGGAUUAGAUACCCCCGUAGUCC
rnacentral:rRNA from 1 species